AAUAGAUACCCGGGUAGUCCACGCCGUAAACGAUCGAGUGCUAAGUGUUAGAGGGUUUCCGCCCUUUAGUGGCUGCAGCUAACGCAUUAAGCACUCCGCCUGGGGAGUACGGUCGCAAGACUGAAACUCAAAGGAAUUGACGGGGGCCCGCACAAGCGGUGGAGCAUGUGGUUUAAUUCGAAGCAACGCGAAGAACCUUACCAGGUCUUGACAUCCUCUGACAACUCUAGAGAUAGAGCGUUCCCCUUCGGGGGACAGAGUGACAGGUGGUGCAUGGUUGUCGUCAGCUCGUGUCGUGAGAUGUUGGGUUAAGUCCCGCAACGAGCGCAACCCUUGAUCUUAGUUGCCAGCAUUUAGUUGGGCACUCUAAGGUGACUGCCGGUGACAAACCGGAGGAAGGUGGGGAUGGACGUCAAAUCAUCAUGCCCCUUAUGACCUGGGCUACACACGUGCUACAAUGGAUGGUACAAAGGGCUGCAAGACCGCGUAGGUCAAGCCAAUCCCAUAAAACCAUUCUCAGUUCGGAUUGUAGG
rnacentral:rRNA from 1 species